UAGUUUGUGGAAAGAUUUGGAGUUUUUGAGUGAAGUGAAAUCAAGUGCGGUUGAUCUUUUUUUAAACAAAAAUCAGAAGGCAGCAGUAGCGGAAGGAAAAUUCUUAAAAGAAUACUUUGAAGGUCAUUGAUCCGGAAGUUGCUGCAAUUUUGAAAGAUAAUUUGAGAGCUUUACCUUUACUACCCGCGAUUUUACCCAAUACUAAUUUCUCAGCGGGAAAAGGUCAGCUGACGACAUCAGACAAGGGAAGAAUGGAAAAAAGGGAAAAGGAAAUAGUGGUGCGGAAGUUCGAAAGGAGUGUUACAGGUCAUUGUCAACAUCGGCGGAAUAAUCGAAAAUCCCCGACAAUUGUCUUUUGUGGAUUUUGGCGCUCGGAACCAAUAUAGACGAUUAUGUGGCGGAUGUUCGCAAAGAUGCUUCGACGAACGUCCAGCCGUACAUAAUCCUUAUCAAAGGUGACACCAAGGACCGACUCUUCAUACAAGUUGACGGAUGUCACAUCCAAAUUAGUGAUCGCGCAAGCUCAAUAACUGCGUUUGAUUUGCUGUAUAAAUUGCAUUACGUCCUAAACGUGCAUUUUGCUUCUUCUCUAACGUUUUUUUAUAAUUUUAUGGAAGUUUAUCUUUAUAAAACCUCAAAAUCGGCAAAGAACUCAGUGAGGUCCUUAGAAACAGCAUUAAGAAACUUCAAAUCAGCUUCCACUGAACUUUCGGACAGUCUUUAGUUUAUUUUUUUUUCUCUAAAUA